AUUGAACGCUGGCGGCAGGCUUAACACAUGCAAGUCGAGCGGAGAGAGGUAGCUUGCUACUGAUCUUAGCGGCGGACGGGUGAGUAAUGCUUAGGAAUCUGCCUAUUAGUGGGGGACAACAUUUCGAAAGGAAUGCUAAUACCGCAUACGUCCUACGGGAGAAAGCAGGGGAUCUUCGGACCUUGCGCUAAUAGAUGAGCCUAAGUCGGAUUAGCUAGUUGGUGGGGUAAAGGCCUACCAAGGCGACGAUCUGUAGCGGGUCUGAGAGGAUGAUCCGCCACACUGGGACUGAGACACGGCCAGACUCCUACGGGAGGCAGCAGUGGGGAAUAUUGGACAAUGGGCGGAAGCCUGAUCCAGCCAUGCCGCGUGUGUGAAGAAGGCCUAUGGUUGUAAAGCACUUUAAGCGAGGAGGAGGCUACUUUAGUUAAUACCUAGAGAUAGUGGACGUUACUCGCAGAGUAAGCACCGGCUAACUCUGUGCCAGCAGCCGCCGUAAUAC
rnacentral:rRNA from 1 species